UACGUAGGGGGCAAGCGUUGUCCGGAAUCAUUGGGCGUAAAGCGCGUGUAGGCGGGUCGUUAAGUCUGCUCUGAAAGUCCAAGGCUCAACCUUGGGAUGCGGGUGGAUACUGGCGACCUCGAGUCCGGAAGAGGCGAGUGGAAUUCCUGGUGUAGCGGUGAAAUGCGCAGAUAUCAGGAGGAACACCAAUGGCGAAGGCAGCUCGCUGGGACGUGACUGACGCUGAGACGCGAAAGCGUGGGGAGCAAACAGG
rnacentral:rRNA from 1 species